rnacentral:rRNA from 1 species
AUGGAAAAGACCAUUCCUGAAGUGUUCUCGAUGCUGAAGUCAGCAGAGGCUGAAAUCAAGAAAGAACAUCAAGUGUUGAUGGUCAAUAAGACCACUAAGUUCAAGAAGGGCAAGGGUAAGAAGAACUUCAAGAAGGACGGCAAAGAUGUUGCCGCGCCUGGUAAGCCAGUUACCGGGAAGAAGUCAAAGAAUGGACCCAAGCCUGAGACUGAGUGCUUUUAUUGCAAGGGGAAGGGUCACUGGAAGCGGAACUGCCCCAAAUACUUAGCGGAUAAGAAGGCCGGAAACACCAAAGGUAUAUUUGAU